rnacentral:rRNA from 1 species
AACGAACGCUGGCGGCAUGCCUAACACAUGCAAGUCGAACGAAGGCUUCGGCCUUAGUGGCGCACGGGUGCGUAACGCGUGGGAAUCUGCCCCUCGGUUCGGAAUAACAGUUAGAAAUGACUGCUAAUACCGGAUGAUGACUUCGGUCCAAAGAUUUAUCGCCGAGGGAUGAGCCCGCGUAAGAUUAGGUAGUUGGUGGGGUAAAGGCCUACCAAGCCGACGAUCUCUAGCUGGUCUGAGAGGAUGAUCAGCCACACUGGGACUGAGACACGGCCCAGGCUCCUACGGGAGGCAGCAGUGGGGAAUAUUGGACAAUGGGCGAAAGCCUGGUCCAGCAAUGCCGCGUGAGUGAUGAAGGCCUUAGGGUUGUAAAGCUCUUUUACCAGGGAUGAUAAUGACAGUACCUGGAGAAUAAGCUCCGGCUAACUCCGUGCCAGCCGCCGCCGUAA